AACGAACGCUGGCGGCGUGCCUAACACAUGCAAGUCGAGCGCGAAAAGGGCAACCUGAGUAGAGCGGCGCACGGGUGCGUAACACGUGGGUAAUCUGCCUCAAAGUUUGGGAUAACCUUCCGAAAGGUUGGCUAAUACCGGAUAAGCUCGCGGGAUCUUCGGAUUCUGCGGGAAAAGGUGGCCUCUGUUUACAAGCCAUCACUUUGAGAUGAGCCCGCGGCCCAUCAGCAGUUGGCGGGGUAACGGCCCACCAAGGCUACGACGGGUAGCUGGUCUGAGAGGACGAUCAGCCACACUGGAACUGAGACACGGUCCAGACUCCUACGGGAGGCAGCGGUGGGGAAUAUUGCGCAAUGGGCGAAAGCCUGACGCAGCGACGCCGCGUGUGGGAUGACGGCCU
rnacentral:rRNA from 1 species